AUAAAAAAAAAUCUUUUCCACCUAGAUCUACUCUCUCUCUAGCGAUUCACCCUUAAAUCAAAGAAAAAAAAUAUAUCAAUCUGUUUCCUUGUGCCUUGAAGCUUGCGUUGUGUUGUUGGUGGUAGCAUACGGUGAUGGCGGAAGAUUCUAGGGUUCUGGUGUUCAAGUGACGUCAGAGAAGGCAGCCACGCAUCAGGUUUUUCUUGGCCGUCAGUCUACAAGAUGGUAAGCUUUUAUUCAUUUUUUUUAUAGUUGAUUUGUUGAAGAAGAUCGAUGUUGUGGUGGUUUUUUGUUAUGAUCUGAUCUGGUUAUGUAGAAUCAGGGCUUGCAACUCUGUUUGAAGUGCAUCUUUCCGUUUGAUUUUCCUGGUAGAAGAGGGUCCCCUCCAAGUAUUUUUCUUAGGGUUUUUUAGUUGUCUGUUGAUUAUAAUUUAAGAAAAAUAAAUUGCAGGUUGAUUUGAAGCUUCUUUUAGCAUAGAUCUUCGUGUGGGUAAUCUUUAUAUACAUUUUUGUAUAGUUUUUCUUUUGCGUCUUUAUACUUUAUUAGGGUUUUUGAUAAAACGGGGGGGGGGGGGGGGGUAUAUAAUUUUCAUAAAGAACAAUUAAAGCUUUGGUGUAGGGUGUUCUACGGGUUAGUUAAAUGGCUUUCGGAAAUUUCAUAGCAAACCUGAUAACCGACCCUUAUUUGCUGGUUGAGCAAGCUUUGCCAUUUGGGUGCUGAUCAUACAUUGAUUACAAGUGUGUUAGGUCCUUGAAUAGUUCGUAGUCUAAAGUGUUGAUUACCGUGGAGGGUGGAAAGAAAGAAUGAAAGACUGGAAAUUGCACCGGCAAGGGAAUCUUGGGGCUAAGUUUAAUGAUUCAUCGAAUCAGGAUAUGGAAAUGUUAGAUGAAGCAAUACAACCACUUUCAAGAAAAGUACCAAUUGUAUCCGUUAAGAACAAUCUUUAUCGGAAGGUUAUGGUUAACUUCUAUAUUCUGUGAGAUUUGGUUUGUUUUCUCUUGGAUCGGUUCCCCAAAUGGUUCCCCCUUGAUUGCGAGGCGUAUCUUGAUCGCCUUUCUUGGUGUUUGAUCUCAAACGGGUUGUUUAAAACUCAUCUUGGUGAUGCAGCCAUGAACAGGAAGGCGAACCAAAUAUGUUAUUAUUGUGCAAAUACAAUUUUGGUCAUCACACUUAUCAUAAGGUAAUGGGCAUCUAUAAAUCAGUGGUGGAACCAACACAUCUUGAGUUUUGCGACUGCAUGGCUUGUUAGUUCUCCCGGAUUGUUUUGGGGCUUUGAUGGGUGGUUUGUGGUUGGGACUGCAGAUUCAGCCAAUGUGCUCCCCUGUUUGAGACGAAGAGGUUUCCUUUCACAACAGUUUUUUACAUGCUAAUGGCUAGAGCACUGGCUGUUCUCGUUGGAUAUUACAUGUAUAUGCAGAACCCACAAACGGAAAAUUAGAUUCUGAAAGAUCACCCGUGUCUUCAAGGCUAGGCACGAAAUUGAAAGAGAUGCAAAUGGAAUACAGGCUAACGCGCAUGAUGAGCUGCCCGAAGCCCUUUUGGGAACUUGGUGGUUGAAUCAUAUGUACACAUCGAAAUUGAUAUCCAUCGACUAUAUGAACAUCCUGCUUAAAGAUUUUAAUUUUGGGUAUAGAUGAUUCUUUAGUUCAAGUUGAAUUGCAAAAUGAAAACUUAUUCUUGACUUUGUAUCUCUUUAUUGUUUUAUUCAACAACGCUUGAUUCAUGAAAGUUGUAUUGUUUAAUACAUCAUGACAAUCCAUUUGAAUUC